UACGUAGGGACCGAGCGUUGUCCGGAUUCAUUGGGCGUAAAGAGCUCGUAGGCGGCUGUUCAAGUCGAACGUGAAAACUCGGAGCUCAACUCCGAGCCUGCGUUCGAUACUGGACGGCUAGAGUCUGGUAGGGGGAUCUGGAAUUCCUGGUGUAGCGGUGGAAUGCGCAGAUAUCAGGAGGAACACCGGUGGCGAAGGCGGGUCUCUGGGCAACAACUGACGCUGAGGAGUGAAAGCGUGGGGAGCGAACAGG
rnacentral:rRNA from 1 species